rnacentral:rRNA from 1 species
AUUGAACGCUGGCGGCAUGCCUUACACAUGCAAGUCGAACGGCAGCACGGGUGCUUGCACCUGGUGGCGAGUGGCGAACGGGUGAGUAAUACAUCGGAACAUGUCCUGUAGUGGGGGAUAGCCCGGCGAAAGCCGGAUUAAUACCGCAUACGAUCUACGGAUGAAAGCGGGGGACCUUCGGGCCUCGCGCUAUAGGGUUGGCCGAUGGCUGAUUAGCUAGUUGGUGGGGUAAAGGCCUACCAAGGCGACGAUCAGUAGCUGGUCUGAGAGGACGACCAGCCACACUGGGACUGAGACACGGCCCAGACUCCUACGGGAGGCAGCAGUGGGGAAUUUUGGACAAUGGGCGAAAGCCUGAUCCAGCAAUGCCGCGUGUGUGAAGAAGGCCUUCGGGUUGUAAAGCACUUUUGUCCGGAAAGAAAUCCUUGGCUCUAAUGCAGUCGGGGGAUGACGGUACCGGAAGAAUAAGCACCGGCUAACUACGUG